rnacentral:rRNA from 1 species
CCUACGGGUGGCUGCAGUGGGGAAUAUUGGACAAUGGGGGCAACCCUGAUCCAGCCAUGCCGCGUGUGUGAAGAAGGCCCUCGGGUUGUAAAGCACUUUCAGUGAGGAAGAACGCCUGGUGGUUAAUACCCAUCAGGAAAGACAUCACUCACAGAAGAAGCACCGGCUAACUCCGUGCCAGCAGCCGCGGUAAUACGGAGGGUGCGAGCGUUAAUCGGAAUUACUGGGCGUAAAGCGCGCGUAGGUGGCUUGAUAAGCCGGUUGUGAAAGCCCCGGGCUCAACCUGGGAACGGCAUCCGGAACUGGCAAGCUAGAGUGCAGGAGAGGAAGGUAGAAUUCCCGGUGUAGCGGUGAAAUGCGUAGAGAUCGGGAGGAAUACCAGUGGCGAAGGCGGCCUUCUGGACAGAGACUGACGCUGAGGUGCGAAAGCGUGGGGAGCAAACAGGAUUAGAUACCCCGGUAGUC